rnacentral:rRNA from 1 species
AGAGUUUGAUCAUGGCUCAGAUUGAACGCUGGCGGCAGGCCUAACACAUGCAAGUCGAGCGGUAACAGGGGUAGCUUGCUACCCGCUGACGAGCGGCGGACGGGUGAGUAAUGCAUAGGAAUCUGCCCGAUAGUGGGGGAUAACCUGGGGAAACCCAGGCUAAUACCGCAUACGUCCUACGGGAGAAAGGGGGCUUUGGCUCCCGCUAUUGGAUGAGCCUAUGUCGGAUUAGCUAGUUGGUAAGGUAAUGGCUUACCAAGGCAACGAUCCGUAGCUGGUCUGAGAGGAUGAUCAGCCACAUCGGGACUGAGACACGGCCCGAACUCCUACGGGAGGCAGCAGUGGGGAAUAUUGGACAAUGGGGGCAACCCUGAUCCAGCCAUGCCGCGUGUGUGAAGAAGGCCCUCGGGUUGUAAAGCACUUUCAGCGAGGAAGAACGCCUGUCGGUUAAUACCCGGUAGGAAAGACAUCACUCGCAGAAGAAGCACCGGCUAACUCCGUGCCAGCAGCCGCGGUAAUACGGAGGGUGCAAGCGUUAAUCGGAAUUACUGGGCGUAAAGCGCGCGUAGGUGGCUUGAUAAGCCGGUUGUGAAAGCCCCGGGCUCAACCUGGGAACGGCAUCCGGAACUGUCAAGCUAGAGUGCAGGAGAGGAAGGUAGAAUUCCCGGUGUAGCGGUGAAAUGCGUAGAGAUCGGGAGGAAUACCAGUGGCGAAGGCGGCCUUCUGGACUGACACUGACACUGAGGUGCGAAAGCGUGGGUAGCAAACAGGAUUAGAUACCCUGGUAGUCCACGCCGUAAACGAUGUCGACCAGCCGUUGGGUGCCUAGAGCACUUUGUGGCGAAGUUAACGCGAUAAGUCGACCGCCUGGGGAGUACGGCCGCAAGGUUAAAACUCAAAUGAAUUGACGGGGGCCCGCACAAGCGGUGGAGCAUGUGGUUUAAUUCGAUGCAACGCGAAGAACCUUACCUACCCUUGACAUCUACAGAAGCCGGAAGAGAUUCGGGUGUGCCUUCG